CUGCUCACGCAUUCAUCAGCUAUCAUCAUCUGCAUCAUAGACCGGCUCAUUUUCAAAUCUUCCUUUCGUUUCUCGCGCGCUCACGGCUUUGAUUUUUACUGCAUAUCUGCUUGCGCACAUCGGCAGCUGCAGCACGUUUUUCAAACAGCAAAGCCCCCUUAGUUUCCGCUUAUUAAGAGGUGGUGGUUGCCUCGGCGCCGAGUUUCUCCUGCCGCCGCCGCCGCUACUGCCUUCUUCCGUGCAUCAGCAUCGCUUUCAUUUUUUCCCUCUCAUUUCGUUUCACCGCGUGUCCGCUGCUCUCGGUGUGUCUCGCCUCAUCGCUCGUCUUCGACUGUUCGCCUGUAUACCCCUGCUGCUGCUUUCCGUGUUCCCGCCUCGGCCCAGUUCUUCCGUGUUCGUGUGUGCGUGUGUGUAUGCGCGCUUGUGCUAAAAGCUACCCCUUUCGCCAUCUCUGUUCUCCUCUGCUCCCGGCCUCCGUCGUCACUACUUGUUCUCCCUCUUUCCUCUCCUAG
rnacentral:misc_RNA from 1 species